UGCCACCUCUGUAGUAUUCCUACCAAAUAAUGCAGAAUCUGAAUCUAGUCUUGAGGAAACAGCAGACAAGCCUACACUGAAGGAACAUCCACAAAAUCACAGGCUACAAACUAGCUUCAAAAAGGCCAUGUCACGAGAGACAGAGACUACAGAAUGCCUUCAGAUGAAAGGAAGAUGAGGAGAUUGACGACAUUGCCAAUCGGGCACUUCUUUGCCAUAAAGAACAUAAUUGGUGACAUCUGAAUAAGGUUGAGGAGUUUACUAGUGAAAUAUGAGGCAAAGAUACCCGAGUGACAGAAAGAAAACUCUGAAAAUGUCCCUUUUCAAGCCAAGUGUGGACCUGGCCUUGACCUUCCCAAAAGGACAAGAAACUGGGUCCGCAGGCGGAAAGAUCCCAUUUCCCUCAGUUGAGAAAUGAGGGUAUUCACCCUGAGGUUGUGAAGAUCAAAUGAGGUGUGUGUCAAAGGGCUUUGGAAAUGUCUGAAAUAAUGUCUGAAUCUGCCUUGGGGCCAGUUCUGCACUUGGGGUCAAAUACUGAGAUUGGGUUUAACCGGGCAGAUACGGAAGGAGGAGCCGCCAGGAGAAUCAUUCCAUCAGCGCCUUUGAUGAGAAGCAUUCACUCAUCCCACCAAUGCCUUUGCGAGAAUCAUUCACUCAUCCCACCAACGCCUUUGACCUCCCACUGAACAGGGUCUUUUGUUUGGUCAGGAAUGUUUACCCACCGCCUGAUGAGUGUGGCCGUCUGGAACGGUUCUUGACUUUCGGAAUGGGAGUUCGGAGGGAGCAGAACACCUGCAGAUGUCUGUUGUUAUUUUCAGUUGCAGAUUCUCCCAGGGUAUUUGCAUAAGAGCCCUCCACCCUCUCGCCAGAGCUGCGCUGUACAGCUGAAUCCAGUGCGGGAUGAGCAGGAAAAAAA